rnacentral:rRNA from 1 species
UAGGGAAUCUUCCGCAAUGGGCGAAAGCCUGACGGAGCAACGCCGCGUGAGGGAUGAAGGUCUUCGGAUCGUAAAACUCUGUUAUUAGGGAAGAACAAAUGUGUAAGUAACUAUGCACGUCUUGACGGUACCUAAUCAGAAAGCCACGGCUAACUACGUGCCAGCAGCCGAGGUAAUACGUAGGUGGCAAGCGUUAUCCGGAAUUAUUGGGCGUAAAGCGCGCGUAGGCGGUUUUUUAAGUCUGAUGUGAAAGCCCACGGCUCAACCGUGGAGGGUCAUUGGACACUGGAUAACUUGAGUGUAGAAGAGGAAAUUCGAAUUCCAUGUGUAGCGGUGAAAUGCGCAGAGAUUUGGAGGCACUCCCGUGUCCAAGGCGCCUUUCUGGUCUGUAACUGACGCUGAUGUGCGAAAGCGUGUGGAUCAAACAUG